rnacentral:rRNA from 1 species
UACGUAGGUGGCAAGCGUUGUCCGGAAUUAUUGGGCGUAAAGCGCGCGCAGGCGGUCUUUUAAGUCUGAUGUGAAAGCCCACGGCUCAACCGUGGAGGGUCAUUGGAAACUGGGAGACUUGAGUGCAGAAGAGAAGAGUGGAAUUCCACGUGUAACGGUGAAAUGCGUAGAGAUGUGGAGGAACACCAGUGGCGAAGGCGACUCUUUGGUCUGUAACUGACGCUGAGGCGCGAAAGCGUGGGGAGCAAACAGG